CACGGACAUCAUGGCUUCAUUUUUAGAGCCCUGGCCCACAGCCAGAUAAGACGUCAUGCCCAGCUCUUUCAUUUCCUGCUCGCCAAUAAUUUUGGUACUGACGGUUUCGAAAUCAUCGGCCAGACGGCGAGCCUGUGAGGCCAGAUAAGCCGGAUUCGCCACGUUUGGUGGCAUGUUGCCCAAAUCUUUCGC
rnacentral:antisense_RNA from 1 species